rnacentral:rRNA from 1 species
AUUGAACGCUGGCGGCGUGCUUAACACAUGCAAGUCGAUCGGUAACGCGGGGGCAACCCUGGCGACGAGAGGCGGACGGGUGAGGAACGCUUGGGAAUCUGCCCUUCAGCGGGGGACAACACGGGGAAACUCGUGCUAAUACCGCAUACGCUCCACGGAGGAAAGCCGGGGACCGCAAGGCCUGGCACUGAAGGAUGAGCCCAAGUCGGAUUAGCUAGUUGGCGGGGUAACGGCCCACCAAGGCGACGAUCCGUAGCUGGUCUGAGAGGACGAUCAGCCCCACUGGGACUGAGACACGGCCCAGACUCCUACGGGAGGCAGCAGUGGGGAAUUUUGGACAAUGGGGGCAACCCUGAUCCAGCCAUGCCGCGUGAGUGAAGAAGGCCUUCGGGUUGUAAAGCUCUUUCGGCCGGGAAGAAAUCGUAUCAGCUAAUACCUGGUGCGGAUGACGGUACCGGCAUAAGAAGCACCGGCUAACUACGUGCCAGCCGCCGCGGUAAAAC